UGCCCCUUCUCUCGAGGCGGCCAAUGUAGUCAGUCUGGGGACCCACCUCCCCCUUUCAGCUGAGCGCACACAACACAGCAUCCACGUGAGUCAGCUUCUUAAAGGCGAAGGCUUGGCCUGUCUAAUUGCGGCAGCUGCGAGACAUCGCACGUCAUUAGCGUCACCAGGUAGCGGCUGGAGCCGAGCUUCCUGAUACCUAGUGAGCCGCGGUGAUGACAAAUGAAAACAAUAAGCUGUUUCCUAGACAAACAGCUGCCUAGACAGUUUCGCUCUGUCGCCCAGGCUGGAGUGCAGUGGCACAAUCUCGGUUCACUGCAACCUCUGCCUCCCGGGUUCAAGCAGUUCUCUUGCCUCAGCCUCCCAAGUAACUGGUACUACAGUUUGUCCUCGGCUGUUACAGAGAAUUGAUACAAAAAAUGAUCAUGUGAAGAAUUUGCAUCUUCUGCAGAACUACCGGUAUCAGUCAGCAGUAGGAGAUUGCCAGACACGGUGGCUCACGCCUAUAAUCCUAGCACUUUGGGAGGCUGAGGUGUGUGGAUCACUUGAGCCCAGGAGUUCAAGACCAGCCUGAGCAACAUGGUGAAACCCCAUCUCUGCAAAAAAUACAAAAAUUAGCCAGGCGUGGUGGUGUGUACCUGUGGUCCCAGCUGCUGGGAAGGCUGAGGUGGGAGGAACAUUUGAGCCCAGAAGUUGAGCCGUGAUCACGCCACUGCACUCCAGCCUGGAUGACACAGCAAGACCUUGUCUCAAAAAAUAAAAUAAAAUAAAUUUUAAAAAA
rnacentral:lncRNA from 1 species